CAGCAGCCGCGGGAAUACGUAGGGUGCAAGCGUUAAUCGGAAUUACUGGGCGUAAAGCGUGCGCAGGCGGUUAUAUAAGACAGAUGUGAAAUCCCCGGGCUCAACCUGGGAACUGCAUUUGUGACUGUAUAGCUAGAGUACGGCAGAGGGGGAUGGAAUUCCGCGUGUAGCAGUGAAAUGCGUAGAUAUGCGGAGGAACACCGAUGGCGAAGGCAAUCCCCUGGGCCUGUACUGACGCUCAUGCACGAAAGCGUGGGGAGCAAACAGGAUUAGAUACCCGGGUAGUCCCUGUCUCUUAUAC
rnacentral:rRNA from 1 species